rnacentral:rRNA from 1 species
GGGCGAAGCCCUGACGCAGCGACGCCGCGUGAGCGAUGAAGGCCUUCGGGUUGUAAAGCUCUGUCAAGUAGGGAAGAAAUGCGUAGGUGGUUAAUACCGGUUACAUUUGACGGUACCUCUAAAGGAAGCACCGGCUAACUCCGUGCCAGCAGCCGCGGUAAUACGGAGGGUGCAAGCGUUGUUCGGAAUUACUGGGCGUAAAGGGCGCGUAGGCGGUAUGACAAGUCAGAUGUGAAAGCCCGCGGCUCAACCGGUGAUGUGCAUCUGAAACUGUUAGGCUUGAGUAUGGGAGAGGAAAGUGGAAUUCCUGGUGUAGAGGUGAAAUGCGUAGAUAUCAGGAGGAACACCAGAGGCGAAGGCGACUUUCUGGACCAAUACUGACGCUGAGGCACGAAAGCGUGGGGAGCAAACAGGAUUAGAUACCCUGGUAGUCCACAGCCGUAAACGAUGUCAACUAGGUGGUGGGGGUGUUGACCCCUUCAGUGCC